rnacentral:rRNA from 1 species
GAUGAACGCUAGCGGGAGGCUUAACACAUGCAAGUCGAGGGGCAGCACGGGUAGCAAUACCUGGUGGCGACCGGCAGACGGGUGAGUAACGCGUAUGUAACCUACCCUGUACAGGGGGAUAACCCGGAGAAAUUCGGACUAAUAUCCCAUAGAAAUAUUGGAAGGCAUCUUUUGAUAUUUAAAGUUCCGGCGGUACGGGAUGGGCAUGCGUAACAUUAGCUAGUUGGUAAGGUAACGGCUUACCAAGGCUUUGAUGUUUAGGGGUCCUGAGAGGGUGGGCCUCCAUACUGGGACUGAGACACGGACCAGACUCCUACGGGAGGCAGCAGUGAGGAAUAUUGGGCAAUGGGCGCAAGACUGAACCAGCAAUCCCGCGUGCAGGAAGACGGCCCUAUGGGUUGUAAACUGCGUUUCCAGGGGGAGAAACUUGCGCACGUGUUGCGCAAUUGACGGUACCCUGGGAAUAAGCAUCGGCUAACUCCGUGCCAGCCGCCGCGGUAAGAC